rnacentral:lncRNA from 1 species
CAAUUGGUAUCUAGAGCUUUGGUCUGUUACUUUCACUUAACAGUGAGACAGUAAAGAUCUUGUGAGAACACUAUGUCUGGAGGAGACGAUAGUAGUACUAGAACAACCGGUGAAGCCGGUGAGGCCAGUGGAGCUGGUGGUGGUCCUACAAAUGCUUUUGGUUUUGACUACUUAAGUAAUGAAUCACAUGAACAUAGUGGCAAUAG